UGCAAAAUUGUACUUUUUCAAUUUCUGAUUCAGUCAAAAUUUCUGUUUCAGACAUGCAGUAAUGAGGACGGCACCAGUGUAGAGCAACACACUCCACGCACUAAACAGAAGCUGCUGCCUGCUACAACAAGGCCAUUAUGUGGACAUUGGCUGCUACUACAAGGUAAACAACACGUGGUUCAGAAAUAAAUAUGCCUGAUAUAUGCUGUAUUGGCUUGCUAGUCUUGAGAUACAUGUCAUUUGUUUGCAGCAGAAAUGAAUGUUUGUUCAUGUUGAUGGUUCAAACAUAAAAGAAAACACAUGAGUUUGGCUAAUCUGUGCUCUAUCUCAUGUGUCACCGUUCUGCUUCAACAGAGUCCAUGCCAAGCAUAUCUUGGUCAUCACAGGAGCUCCUAUCCACACCAACAGAAAGGGGCUGGAGCUGAAUUUGCAAGGCUUUUAUACCACGAACAAAGAAGCGCAUGUGGAAGAAUUCGCAUGAGAUAUCAGGUCUGCAGAGCACUGUGUCAAGACUGAAAAGAGCUUCAGCCACCAUUCCACCAGCACGGACAAAUUAGCUGAGUCAUCCAGGUAACUCAAAAAGGACUCUAGAAAUUCUUCGUCUUCAGAUGCACCUGCAACUUCUGAUCAAGCACGGACAACGCUGGCCAAAAGAGUUCCAUCAGUUUGCCCUUAAUCAGCUUCCUGGCCAUGUCAAUUCCAUUUGUGCCAAGUGUAAUUUUUAUUCUAUAAAUGCAAGCUUUUUCGUUGCCCAUUCUCGUUAGAGAUCAUUCAUCCUCAUCCAAACAUAAAGGUCAACCGAUUCUUCGCUGAUACUUAAUGGCAGUCACUGUCUAGUAGCAUAACAUAUCUGUAGCAGUACCUUUUAGUGUAUGUUGUCAUGUACAAUUCCUCUCCUGAAAUAGGUGAUGCAACAUUGACAUGUGUCUUGCAUUAACCUACGUACCAUUUGCUAUGCACCAUUUUACUUUUCUUUGUGUUUUUGGCCUUCAAUGCUUGCAGAGCAGAGUGGCUUCUCUCUUGAAUGCAAACUUUCUCAUUUUCCGUAUUCCUAGUCUCGUUGAUGAUUGCUCUUCUUCCUCGAUAGCCUGGGUCUUUGCGCAAGCUACACUAAUGAUUGAUUGCAGAAUCUGCUUUUGCUGCCCCACUUGGUUGUCAUCGCCGUGUUACAUUUCUCGGAUGUGGGGGCCUGGUCAGUUGCAUUGGUAAGCAGUCUCUCGAGGUAAGCAUUUGCUCCUGCAGUCCGCACAGCGACAUAGACUGCCAGUAUACACGCACCGUAACUGGUGCUCCCGUUCAUUCUUUCCUGCUACAGCCAUGGGCAAAUUGUACUUGUGGUCUACCUCGGCCAUGAUUUGCUCAGAACGGAGACCAACUAGCAUAUGUGCUUACAUGGUUCGAAGUGUAUGAAGUUGAUAGCCGUAUGGGUGGAAAGGCCCGAAAAUGGCUGCCGAAGGUGAUGUCCAUGAAAGCGACUUGUCCAUAUUGAGACAAAGUGGGACACCAAAUGUGAGCCACACAUUAGCGGCCCUCGACAGAAAAGAAACGUGCAGGUUGGAAAACCUGAGUUAACACUAAAAUGCUGGAUAGUCCAUUUCGCUGUGUUGGUUGCGGCAGCAGAUGCCUGCGUCACCUGAUUGCUUCGCAAUGGAAGUUGCUCAUCUUCAACGGCAACUGUCGGUUCAAACAGGUGCGACGCUCUGUCCAAUCUGUUUGUACUGCUGGUUGUGGCUCGUUACCAGACCACCACAUGCGACGAAGGCAAGCAUUAUGCCUCUAAGUAGGUGGCUGAAUGUAUCCUAAGGGCUCAUUCACACCGGCGACUUGAGGAGGUCGCACGCCCAAAGUCGACUGAUGUUCACACCGGCAAGCCCGGCUGAGCGCGACCCGCAAGUCGCAAUCCCGGAGAUUAUCGUUUUCAGCGAGAACUCUCAGAAUCUACGCAGUUCGCGCGCACGUCGCUCGUCUGCUGCUAACAGCCAUGGAUCUCGAUUCUAGCGAAGAGGAAGACGUCGUCAGUGUGCUGAUGUGAUCUGCCGUAGUGUCAGUCCUGGCAGCGCGGAAGCCUCCGAAAAAAAAGCGACGCUGGUGGAUGCGCCCGUGCCUCCGUUCGCGAGAAGUGGCCGGCCACGCAAGCCGCUUCCUGCCCGAACUCUGCGCGCAUGACGAGGACGAGACUUCCUGCGAAUGCCACCCAGCACAUUCGACACGUUGCUGGAGUUGCUGGAAUUGCUGCGCCCCGGCAUCACAAAGGAAGACACCAACUACAGGACUGCAGUCUCGGCUCAUGAUCGCCUAGCCAUGACCGUCGGGUUCUUGGCCACAGGAGAGACGCAGCGGGACAUGUCGUUCAACUUCCUGGUGGCCAGAUCAACUACAUGCGGCAUUGUGUCAGCAGUGUCCGACGCCCUGUGGUCUGUGUUGAAGUCACUGUAUCUUCAGCAUCCGCAAGGAGCUGAUGAAUGGCUCAAGGUUCCUGUACGUGGAAAUUGGCCACAGCGGCAGUGAGAGUGACCAUGGCAUUUUUCCGUGGUCCACUCUACAGAAAGAGAUCGCCAGAGGGACAUUGGGGCUGCCACCGCCAAGACCUGUUGGGAGUGAGGGGCUUCUCCCAUACUUCCUUGUUGGCGAUGAGGCCUUCCUGCUCAAGAAAUACAUGAUGCGGCCAUACCCACGACGGACACUGCAUGAAGACUCACGCGAGACGCCGAAGCGGCGAGUUUUCAACUACCGCUUGAGCAGGGCCCGGCGAGUCAUCGAAAACGCCUUUGGAAUCCUGGCACAACAGUGGAGAAUUCCGCAGCGACCGUUCAAAGCCAAGACCGACAAUAUUAAUAGAUAUGUGGGAGCCUGCAUAGUGCUGCAUAAUUUUUUGAUGAAGGAGUCAUCGGCCUCUUCUGCUGCAUACUGCCCGCCAGGUUCUGCCGACAGCGAGGACUGGGAAGGGCGACUUUCCCCUGGCAGCUGGAGGGAGGAGGAACAGCCGGUGGUGCCCUCUUGCCAUCAAAGUCUACUGGGUGUCACGCUGCUCGGCAUGCGAAAGAAGUUCGGGACAAGCUGUCACACCACUUCAUCACAGCCGGCCAAGUUCCCUGGCAAGAUAAAGUGGUCACCAGUACUUGAACUGCACAAGAACUGCAGGUCUCCAUGUCUGCUUCCAUGGCGUCCGAGGAAACCUCUGGUUGGCUGCCAUCUGUUACUUCUGCUUGGCUGCAAUGACAGCGGAAAAGCAUCUUUUUACAUAUGACAUUGCUACAUGCAGAUGCCAUUACCAGUGGUCAGCUGCCUGCCAUUCAUGCCUACUCACCUCACAUUAUGCACAUGCUGUAGUAUAAUAAGCGAUGUGUAUUUCUGUUCACCACUUAAGUUCUGAUGCCACCUCCGUUAAUUCCAGCAUGGCCUCGAAGUGGGGCCAUUUGAUGGUGGGGACAUCAACCGCUCCUGCACCACUACACUGCUUAUCGCGCACCUCCUGUUGCUUCCUCUUGAAUAUGCCUCUCAAGUUUUUAAAUUUUUUCUCUGGAGGGGUUCCUGCAAAAUAAAUAAGCAAUUAUACGUUGACAGCAACAUGAGAUCACACGAAAUAAAGUAUGCUAUAAAGAAGCCUCUUCUCUCCUUUUCUUCGUAGUGUGUUAGCCGCAAUAUUUAUCUUUUUCACAACGCUUACGUAAAUCACAAAAAACGUUCAAAUGUGUCUAGCUGUGCAGAUUCGCAAAUCUUUAUAACAGCGUGCGAAACGCCAGUGCAAAACCGCACGCUGCCACAUUGUUUCCUUCACUCAUGAACACACCCGCGAGGCUCCAUCGUUCAAGCUCGGAUAUAAGCAUAAAGCUUGCAGGAAGGGCGUGCAUACCCAAAAUAAACGGGAAGCAAUCAUACAGUCAAGCAUUGAGCCGCGAUAUUGUAGCGUUGCUUUUCCCGAUUAAUAAGACUCUGCACCCGGGGAACAACGUCGAUCUGACCACACACUGACAUUUCAUAAGCGGGAAUACAUUAGCACUGAAAAAUGCACCGCAACGCGCCUCUUCCAUACUUCACAUAUAGUUACAAAUCCGAAACCACAUUGCACUUUCGCUUGAGGUACUGACGAGAGAUGCCGAACAUGUUUCCGAUCUCGGUCCAUGCGACAUCCUUCUUACAGUCUUUGAAUGAUGGCUGCAGCUUGUACAGGUACGGGUACUGUUUAACGGCUUCUAUAAGCAACUCCGGCGAAUACGCAGCAGCUUCCAUGGUGGCUUGGACUUUGUAUUUGCCGCGACGCGGGAGGAAGCCGGAUGUAGACACAUGAAAGAUCACUUCCGGUGCGCCGCUGAUUGGUUUAUCAGUUUUGCGACCACGGUCGUGCGACUGAAAAAUCGCGCGGAGUGCGACUCGCCCAAAAUGGUCGCCUUUCGAGAAAAGCGACCAUUUGCGACCACCGUCAGUUGCCGGUGUGAAUAAGCCCUAAGAGACCCGUGUAUGUGAAUGCUCACUGUUGCCAUAUGGUUCGUAGCCAAUGUAUAAUAUAUUCUCUGAACCUCAUGCAUUGAUUGAUUGCUGUUUAUUUUCGCUGUUACCUAACUUGGUUACGGUCGCCGUGUUAUGUUUUUAAAAUAUGGCGGCCAGGUCAGUUGCAUUGGGAAGCAGUCUCUCGAAGUAAGCAUUUGCUCUUCCAGUCCACACAGCGACAGUGGCUCUCAUUUACACACACCAUGAUUCAUGCUCCCCAUUCAGACUUUCCUGCUGGAGCCAUGGACAGAUUGUGCCUGUGGCCUUUCCCGGCUGCGAUUAAGCACGAACGGAGACCAGCACACGUGCUUACAUGGUCCGACGUGUAUGAAGUUGGGUGGAAAGGCCCGCAAAAGUGGCUGAUGCUGAGGUGAUGCCCGCGAAAGAGACUUGCCCAUAUUGAGACAAUGUGGGACACCAAGUGCGAGCCACACAUUAGCGGCCCCCGAAAGAAAAGAAAUGUGCAGGUUGGAAAGGAGUCAACGAUGAAAUGCCGGGUAGUCCAUGUCGCUGUGUAGGCUGCGGCAGCAGAUGCCUGCAUCACCCGAUUGCUUUGCAAUGCAAGUUGCUCAUCGGCGACUGUCGCUGCAAACAGGUGGGACACACUGUCCAAUCUGUUUCUGCUGCUGGUUUUCGCUCGUUACUAGACCGCCAUGUGCAACGACGACGGUGAGCCGUUUACAAGCUCGCGUCAAAGGUUCCAGCGUAUCUAGACAUACAAAUUUUAUUUAUGCUAUUGCACGAGAAUGUACACUGCUUGUCUUCUGCCAAUAAAGUUGUACAUUCUGUUCA